rnacentral:rRNA from 1 species
GUGUCAGCCGCCGCGGUAAUACGAAGGGGGCUAGCGUUGUUCGGAAUCACUGGGCGUAAAGGGCGCGUAGGCGGCUUUAUAAGUCGGGGGUGAAAGCCUGUGGCUCAACCACAGAAUUGCCUUCGAUACUGUAGAGCUUGAGACCGGAAGAGGUAAGUGGAACUGCGAGUGUAGAGGUGAAAUUCGUAGAUAUUCGCAAGAACACCAGUGGCGAAGGCGGCUUACUGGUCCGGUUCUGACGCUGAGGCGCGAAAGCGUGGGGAGCAAACAGGAUUAGAUACCCGGGUAGUCC